UACGAAGGGGGCUGGCGUUGUUCGGAUUUACUGGGCGUAAAGCGCACGUAGGCAGAUCGUUAAGUGAGGGGUGAAAUCCCAGGGCUCAACCCUGGAACUGCCUUUCAUACUGGCGAUCUAGAGUCCGGAAGAGGUGAGUGGAACUCCUAGUGUAGAGGUGGAAUUCGUAGAUAUUAGGAAGAACACCAGUGGCGAAGGCGGCUCACUGGUCCGGUACUGACGCUGAGGUGCGAAAGCGUGGGGAGCAAACAGG
rnacentral:rRNA from 1 species